rnacentral:rRNA from 1 species
UAUACGGUAGAAAUUCCGUAGCCUCUAUCAAUUUAAACACAGGGACACUUUUGAAGGGUUCAGCCGGGCGAUGGUUGCCCCAGUCGUAAGGGACUGCAAAUGGGCGGGAAGUGAAUUUGGAAGAAGGCGAGAAAAGCUGUGUGAAUAGAAGAUAGAGCCCGUACCGCAAACCGACACAGGUAGAUAGGAAGAAGAUUCUAAGGCCAACGGGAGAAGGGUUGUUAAGGAACUCGGCAAGUUGACCCCGUAACUUAGGGAGAAGGGGUGCUCUUUAAGGAGAGCCGCAGAGAAUAGGCCCAAGCGACUGUUUAGCAAAAACACAGCUCUAUGCUAAAUCGAAAGAUGACGUAUAUGGGGUGACACCUGCCCGGUGCCGGAAGGUUAAGAGGAGGAGUGAGAGCUCUGAAUUGAAGCCCCGGUAAACGGCGGCCGUAACGAUAACGGUCCUAAGGUAGCGAAAUUCCUUGUCAGGUAAGUUCUGACCCGCACGAAUGGUGUAACGAUUUGGGCACUGUCUCAACAACCUGCCCGGCGAAAUUGUAGUACCGGUGAAGAUGCCGGUUACCCGCGACUAGACGGAAAGACCCCAUGGAGCUUUACUGCAGCUUAAUAUUGAAUUUCGGUAUUUCAUGUACAGGAUAGGUGGGAGACAGGGAACCAUAGGCGUCAGCUUAUGGGGAGUCGACCUUGGGAUACCACUCUUGAGGUGCUGGAAUUCUAACCUGUGGCUCUGAAUCGAGUCAGGGGACAUUGUUAGGCGGGCAGUUUGACUGGGGCGGUCGCCUCCAAAAAGGUAACGGAGGCGCUCAAAGGUUCGCUCAGCAUGGAUGGAAACCAUGCUUUUGAGUGUAAACGCAAAAGCGAGCCUAACUGCGAGACUGACGGGUCGAGCAGUAACGAAAGUUGGAGUUAGUGAUCCGGCGGUAUGUGAGUGGAAAUGCCGUCGCUCAACGGAUAAAAGCUACCCUGGGGAUAACAGGCUGAUCUCCCCCAAGAGUCCACAUCGACGGGGAGGUUUGGCACCUCGAUGUCGGCUCAUCGCAUCCUGGGGCUGAAUUCGGUCCCAAGGGUUUUGCUGUUCGCCAAUUAAAGCGGUACGCGAGCUGGGUUCAGAACGUCGUGAGACAGUUCGGUCCCUAUCUGUCGUGGGCGUAGGAUACUUGAAAGGAGCUGUCCCUAGUACGAGAGGACCGGGAUGGACGCACCGCUGGUGCACCAGUUGUCAUGCCAAUGGCACAGCUGGGCAGCUAUGUGCGGAACGGAUAAACGCUGAAGGCAUCUAAGCGUGAAGCCGACCUUAAGAUAAGAUAUCCCUUCGUAAGAGUAAGACCUCUCAUAGACUAUGAGUUUGAUAGGCCUAAGGUGUAAGCACAGUGAUGUGUUCAGCCUGCAGGUACUAAUCGGUCGAGGGCUUUUCAA